GGGCGGAAACGUGUCUACCAUUUGUAUUACGUGGGACAUCUGGCAUGCACUUCUCUUUUAUUUCCCAUUCUCCUCCUUCCUUCUUACCCUAUUGUUUUUGUUUCUUUCCCUUCCUCUCACUUACAUCUUUAAUCUUUUGUUAGUACUUUUCUCUCUGGAAAAGAGUUGCUACAAGCUGCUUUCCAGAAGAGCGCACCUCCAAGAUUCAAGAUAACUCUGGUGAGCAUUGGUUGGGUUUUCACGAUCUGGCUUUAUUGCUAUUGUUAAUGAACUUCUGCAUAGGGUGGUAAUAGCAUAAAGAGAAGCUUAGCUAAUAUAGCUGGUGAUUAUAUGAGAUAUGACCAUUCAGAGUCUGUUCUACGAUAAAGAGUUUAUUUAUCGGCUGAAGCUGGGUAGCCUUUUCCUAUUAACUUUUGUGUUGCUAAUUUUAUAUUGCUUGAGUCAUAUCAAAAAGAUCUCUCAAUAUCAGGCUAAGAAUUGCUAGGUGUUUCACAAGACGACAACAUUCAUUGAGGCUCCACUGUUCUUGCCUUAUCUAGAAACUGAAAUACCGUCUUUAAGAGUCAUUCCAGAAGCAAAAUUGGACGAUGCAGAAUGGAUACGCGUCAGGCAAGAACAACUCAUGCUCAUUGACGAGAAAAGAAUGGGUGCAGUAUGUCAUGGACAGCUAUACCAGAACAAGAUGGCUAGUGCAUUUAACAAAAGAGCGAAGUCUCGCCAAUUCACGCCAAGGUAGUUGGUUCUGAAGAAUUUUUUUUCCCAUCAAGAAGAAGCUAAAGGGAAGUUCGCACCGAACUGGCAAGGUCCUUAUGUGGUCCACAGAGCACUGUCUGGUGGAGCUCUAAUCUUAGCAGAAAUGGACAGAAGAGUCAACACGAAGCCAAUCAACUCGUACGCAAUCAAGAGAUAUUACGCCUGAAGACAGAUAGGGUUAGGAUUUUGAUGUAUUAGAACUACAUUCAACCUGACUUCCCACGGAGGGAUACAUAGGCAACCCGCGUAGGGUUCAGUUUCUCUCUCCCCUUUCUCUUGUAAUAGAAAAACCAAAUGUCAUUUUGUAUGUUGUUCAGGAACUACGCCGACUUGAUUUCCUCAUAGAGGAAUACAUAGGCAAUCCUCAACGGAUUCAGUCGUCUUUUGUAAUUAAAAUACGUUCUGGCCUGAUUCCACUUGGAUAUGUAGGCUGUCCGAGUCA